AGUGAACGCUGGCGGUAGGCCUAACACAUGCAAGUCGAACGGCAGCACAGAGAGAAGCUUGCUUCUCUUGAGAGCGGCGGACGGGUGAGUAAUGCCUAGGAAUCUGCCUGGUAGUGGGGGAUAACGUUCGGAAACGGACGCUAAUACCGCAUACGUCCUACGGGAGAAAGCAGGGGACCUUCGGGCCUUGCGCUAUCAGAUGAGCCUAGGUCGGAUUAGCUAGUUGGUGGGGUAAUGGCUCACCAAGGCGACGAUCCGUAACUGGUCUGAGAGGAUGAUCAGUCACACUGGAACUGAGACACGGUCCAGACUCCUACGGGAGGCAGCAGUGGGGAAUAUUGGACAAUGGGCGAAAGCCUGAUCCAGCCAUGCCGCGUGUGUGAAGAAGGUCUUCGGAUUGUAAAGCACUUUAAGUUGGGAGGAAGGGCAGUAAAUUAAUACUUUGCUGUUUUGACGUUACCGACAGAAUAAGCACCGGCUAACUCUGUGCCAGCCGCCGCCGUAA
rnacentral:rRNA from 1 species